UAAGAGACAAAGAAACUUCUUGGUUUGUUUGGUGUGUUUUGUUUUUGUUGUUUAUUGGUUUUUUUAGCUCUAGCUGUAAAGCAUGACUGGUCUGUCCUGUUCACUGGCGAGAGUUUUCUUUGGAUUUUCUCCUGUGUCCCUAUCUGAAUAUGGGAGACAGGACCUGUAUGUGCCAGGAAUCUGAUAAUGUCUAAAAGAUUGCUGACCCACUUUGAUCAUGCAAGUCUCUAAAUAUCCUGUUGCCUAUGAUUCAGAAGCACAGUUUUUACUAAAGACAUCCUGCU
rnacentral:lncRNA from 14 species